rnacentral:rRNA from 1 species
UACGGAGGGUGCGAGCGUUGUCCGGAAUCACUGGGCGUAAAGGGUGCGUAGGUGGCGGGGUAAGUUUGAUGUGAAAGCUCAGGGCUUAACCCUGAAAUGGCAUUGAAUACUACUCUGCUGGAGGUUUGGAGGGGGGACUGGAAUUCUUGGUGUAGCAGUGAAAUGCGUAGAUAUCAAGAGGAACACCAGUGGCGAAGGCGAGUCCCUGGACAACACCUGACACUGAGGCACGAAAGCUAGGGGAGCAAACAGG